rnacentral:rRNA from 1 species
AGAGUUUGAUCAUGGCUCAGGACGAACGCUGGCGGCGUGCUUAACACAUGCAAGUCGAACGAUGAAGCCUAGCUUGCUAGGUGGAUUAGUGGCGAACGGGUGAGUAAUACGUGAGUGACCUACCUUUGACUCUGGGAUAAGCCUGGGAAACUGGGUCUAAUACCGGAUACGACCAAUCUCCGCAUGGGGUGUUGGUGGAAAGCGUUAUGGAGUGGUUUUAGAUGGGCUCACGGCCUAUCAGCUUGUUGGUGAGGUAAUGGCUUACCAAGGCGACGACGGGUAGCCGGCCUGAGAGGGUGACCGGCCACACUGGGACUGAGACACGGCCCAGACUCCUACGGGAGGCAGCAGUGGGGAAUAUUGCACAAUGGGCGCAAGCCUGAUGCAGCGACGCCGCGUGAGGGAUGACGGCCUUCGGGUUGUAAACCUCUGUUAGCAUCGAAGAAGCGAAAGUGACGGUAGGUGCAGAGAAAGCGCCGGCUAACUACGUGCCAGCAGCCGCGGUAAUACGUAGGGCGCGAGCGUUGUCCGGAAUUAUUGGGCGUAAAGAGCUUGUAGGCGGUUGGUCGCGUCUGCUGUGAAAGGCUGGGGCUUAACCCUGGUUUUGCAGUGGGUACGGGCUAACUAGAGUGCAGUAGGGGAGACUGGAAUUCCUGGUGUAGCGGUGGAAUGCGCAGAUAUCAGGAGGAACACCGAUGG